rnacentral:lncRNA from 1 species
UUGGUCGUUUUGGGCCAAGGAAGUUACGGAAAGUGGUGGAGUGAGAGCUGGCUGCCCAGAACACCUGUCAGGUUGUCCCUCGGCUGAUCAGAAAGCGGGUGGAGGGCGUGCCUUUCCUUUCUUAUUGGGCCUGAAGUAAAGCAGACUGCUGCCCCACCCCGACCCCGACCCCGCUGCCCGCCUCGUCCGCGUCUCAGCAAGUGGCCGCUCCACGGCUCCCUGCGCUCAAGCCAGCCCCCCUGGAAGGGUGUCACGGAGCGCACGGGCGGGUUGUCUAGCGAGUCCGAAGAGUGGGAUCCACGGACACGGGGUGUGAAGCAGCAAAGUGACGGGGUUCAUUGGAGUACAGGAAAGCAGAGCUCCCGAGAGGGUAGGGCCCCUAGACAGGGCUGCCCGCGGGUCGUUGUCGGGGGUUUCUGUUCGUUACUGAUGAGGAAAAGCCUUCUGGCGCAAUUGAAAGUGUAAGAUCCUGAUUUCUUAUUCCCAUAUGGAUGGGUUUAAUGUCUUUGCUCACCUCACUUUGUCCUGAACUUGUUCCUUAAAACAAAAGAACUGCUUGAGAUGAAAACAGCUCUUUGAGGUGGACUAAUGUGAGGGUCGUCAAGGAAAUCUGGGGUCACAAUAGAGUGUUGCGUGAUUAGGACUUUCCAGUCAGGAACCAAAAAUAAAUAAAUAAAAACCACCCUAUAGGGUUUCAGUCUGGGAUGGUGGGACCCCCUUCGAGGUCUGCAUUUCAAUCUUUCUCCUGCUGCGAAGGUAUAUUCUGACUUCUCAUUCUCACCCUUGUCCCCUCCUGUUGUUGCCUGUCUCUCAUACUUAGGUCAUCUUAUGAGAAGACACCAUCACAUGAUGGCGGUAGCCUGAAUUAGCUUCCUGGGACUGUCGUGUCACAGUGCUACAAACUGAGUGCCUUAAACAACAGAAGUUUAUUUUUCUAAAAUCUGGAGACCACAAUUCUAAAAUCAAGGUUUUGCAUAAUGAUGCUCUAUCUACAGUCUCCAGGGGAGGAAACUAUGCCUUUUCUAACUUCCCGUGGUGGCGGUCAUCUCUUGACGUUCCUUGCAGUGAAGCUGCAUCUCUCUAGUCUGUUUCGGUCACUAUGUGACAAUCUCCUUGUGUGUCUCUGUCCUCCCAUUGCGUUUUUCCUUUCUUGUAAGGAUACCAGUCCUGUUGCAUUUGGGCACACCCUAAUGACCUCAUCAUAAUUUGAUCAUCCAGAUUCCCCCUGCCAAAUAAGGUUAUAUUCACAAAAAUACUAGAGGUUAAGAUUUCAAAAUUUUGGGGGGAAGGCACAAUUCAACCCAUAACACCUGCUACAUUCCCUCCCUGAUUCCCUACAGUGACAGAUGAUAUUUUUUGUUUUGUUUGUGAUGCUGGGGAUGGAAUCCAGGGCCUUUCACAUGCUUAGUAGGCAUUUCUAUCACAGAGCUACAUCCCUAGCUCUAUAAUCCUUCCUAAAAGUCAGAUCAUUUCAGUCCUCUGCACAGAAUCCUCAAUUUCCUAUGUCACUCAGUAAAAUCCAAAGUUAGUUUGCUUCCAACCUCUAUAUGAUUGUCAUUCCCAAUCUCCUGCCAUUAUCCUUCUCACAACUGAAAGGAAAGCGAGGAAACAGGAGCAGGGCGAGUAAGAAAUGAAAGAGGGAGACCAGUCAGAGACACAUGAGACCAGUCAGACGACUGUUUAUUUCUGGUAGAAAGGUAUCUACCUCUCUCCGUUGUGUCCGGACCCCAAGUUCUGAAAAUACCCCCUCCAAACCCCUAAUCUCGACCCAUCCAGGAUUACACCCGUCACUUCCCAACCCAACCAUACUCCCUCGUCACUCGGAAAGAGUCUUUCCUGGAACCCCCACCCUUUCGUUUUGAAAAAAGAAUUUUACCGCCGACAGUUAAUUCUACCGACAGGUCCACGAUUUGUUCCUGGAAGAUCAAACCGGGUCACCUUUUCGAAAUAAAACAGGAUAUUAAUAUGAGAGUGUAUCAAUCUACUCCCAUUACUGUAACAGAAUGCCUGAGACUGGAUGGUUUUAAAGAACAAAAACUUAUUCCUUGCAGUUCUGGAGGCUGAAAAUCCAAGAUUGAGGCACCACUAGGUUUUGUGUCCUGAGAACCUGGUUUCUGCUACCGGGAUGAUGCUGUGCUCCUGUGUCCUCUGGAGGAGAGGAACCACCACGUCCUCAAACAGCAGAAGAGAUGGUGGGAAAUGGUGAGAUCACUCUUUGCAGCCUCCUUUAUAAGGGCGCUAACCCUACUGAGCCUUCAGGACUUAGCUGCCUGCUAUAGGCCCCCGCCUCUUAAUUCUGUCACAGUGUUGGUUAAGUUCAAGGUCUGAGCUUGGUUGGGCACAUUCAGGCCUUAGCAUCAUAUGACCACUACCAUAUCUGUGAUUUAGAACAUUUCCAGUUAAGCUCAAAAAACAUUUUUGAUGCUAUUGUAUUAUCUUUAAUUCAUAAUUAUUCAUUGCUAAUAUAUGGGAAUAACAUUGAUUUUUAUACAUUGACAUUGUAUCCUUUGACUAUGCUAAAAUUACAUUCUCUCUAGCAGAUUUUUUAGAUUACUUGGAUUUUCUAUGCAAAUGUUUGUGACAUCUACAAAUAAGAUGAUCUUAUUCCUUCAUUUCAAUGUGUAUGCCUUUUUUCUUUUUCUUGAAUUGUUGAACUGACUAGGACCUAAAGCACAGUGUUAAUAGUAAGUUGUGGGACUUGCCAACCUUGUAUUUCAAAGCAAAAUCCACUUGGUCAUAACAUAUUAUCCUUGUGUGUGUGCGUGUGUGUGUGUGUGUAUGUUUUAUUGAUUCAGUUUGGUAAAGUGUUAAGUUUUUAAUUAAUUAUUCAUUUACUUAUUUACUUUUGGCACUGAGGAUUGCACUCAGGGGCACUCAGCCACUGAGCCACAUCCAGCCCUUUUUUGUAUUUUAUUAAAGACUGGGUCUCACUGAGUUGCUUAGUGCCUCACCAUUGCUGAGGCUGGCUUUGAACUCAUGAUCGUCCUGCCUCAGCCUCCCAAGCCACUGGGAUUACAGGCAUACUCCACUGUGCCCGGCUGCAUUAAGAGUUUUUGUGUCUAGGAGCUAGGGAUGUGGCUCAAGCGGUAGCGCGCUCACCUAGCAUGCGUGCGGCCCGGGUUCGAUCCUCAAAGAUGUUGUGUCUGCCGAAAACUAAAAAAAAAUAAAUAUUAAAAAAUUCUCUCUCUCUCUCUCUCUCUCUCUCUCUCUCUCUUAAAAAAAGAGUUUUUGUGUCUAUGUUCAUGAGUGACAUUUGUCUACUUGUUUUCUUUUUCUUUUCUUUCUUUCUUUCUUUUCCCCCAUUGCUGGGUGUUAAACAGGGCCUUGCGCAUGCUAGAUAAGCUCUCCAUCCUGUAUUUUUUCUUAUAAUAUCUUUUUGUGGUUUUAAUAUCAUAUAAUGACUGCUCUUAUGAAUAAAAACUUGGAACAUUCCUCCUUUUUCUUUACCUAGGUUAGUUUGUGUAGAAUGGGAGUUAUUUUUCUCCCAAAAUGUUUGGGAACAUUUUAGGAAAAUGAAAUCAUCUGGGUAUGAAAUUUUCUUUCUGGGAAGAUUUUUAAACAAUGAAUUAUUAAUUAUUUAUUUUUUCUUUUUUUGAGAAUUUUUAAAAAUAUUUUAUUUUUUAGUUUUCAGCGGACACAACAUCUUUGUUUUUUGUUUUUUUGUAUGUGGUGCUGAGGAUCGAACCCAGGCCGCACGCAUGCCAGGCGAGCACACUACCGCUUGAGCCACAUCCCCAGCCCAUUAAUUAUUUCUUUUCUUUUCUUUUUCCUUUUCCUGGGAUUGAACCCAGAGGUGCUUAACCACUGAGCUACAUCCUUAACCCUUUUUAUUUUUUAUUUUGAGACAGGGUCUCACUGAGGCUGGCCUUAAACUUGGAAUCCUCCUGCCUCAGCCCCCAGAGUCUUUGGGAUUAUGGGUGUGCACCACCUUCCCAGCUCUAUUUCUUAAAUAAUUGUGAGGCUCUAAGCAACUUAGUGAGACCCUGAAUCAAAUUUGAAAAAAAUAAAAAGGGCUGAGUCUGUGGCUCAGUUGUAAAGUGCUUCUGGGUUCAAUCUCCAGUACCAAACAACCAAAAAAGUAAAAUAGGAAGUUGGCUUAGGAAUACCAGGAAGCACGUCCUCACAAGACUGCCCAUCUCCCCAAAUCUGGGGAGCAUCACAGGGCUGUCCAGCAGGGCUUUAGGCGAGCCUGCCUUGCCUGGGUGUCCUAGGAGCUUUGCUGAGGAUGUUCAGUACGGGCAAGUUGUUCCUGUGAAGUCCUGUCUGUCCAGCAGAGAGAUGGCUGCUGGUUUGUGCAUUCAGACUCGGUACCAGUGAACUGUAGUAGUGAGUUUGUUUCCUCUGCCCUCCAGCCUCUCCCUUGUACAUGCCUGUCCAAUACCCACUUGUGCAAACCUGCUCUUGAGAAAGUGUCACAUUAUGGGCCAGGCUAUAUGGGCAAUGACCAAACAGACUCCAUUUUACCCUGAGACUCCAUCAUAUAAGAAAUGCUUCUCCCGUGGGAAAGCCCCGCCUCUGUACCCAUUAAUAGUUACCUAGCAUAAAAUACUUGGCAACAGAAAAUAGUAAUUCUUAUACAAUGUAAAAUUGUUCUCUUGUUUCCAUUUUUCUUGGGCAGUGUACCUUGUGAGAGAUAGAUUGUCUAGUCCUUAGUAACCAUUCUCUAACUUUGUACCGAGCUAGGGUCAUUUUGACCCACUUCCCUUCUGCUGGCUUGCUGCUAUGCCAACCUGGAAAGUCCCAUGGGAAAUACCAAUGUACCCAUCGCAUUGUCUCGCUAUCUGCCCAGUUCAGCUUCUGUACCUGCUUGUUAGCAGCUGCAUCAACCCAGAUGUGGUUUUUGCCUUUAAAUAUCCUAAAAUGCUCAGGCUCAGAGCUGUUUCUUGCAGAGAAAGUUAUGGGUCCUGUGGGGAGUACUCACCAGCUGGCUGGCUAAAUAAAGACUCUUACAUUUGUACAAAACUGGGACUUGGUGUGUUUCUGAGCAACCUUCCCCACAACAUUGGCUACUUAAUGAAGAAGUAUUUUCAAUCAAAGCCACAACAUCUGGCAGAGUCAAGAGAUCACUGCAGAAAAGAUUUAAUGAUAGGAGGUCGAAGCUCUGCUCCACCACACAAACCCAUUUGUUAACUGUUCUUCCUCCCCAAUUAAAAAAAAAUCUCAUUUUAAAUUUCAUUGGAGAGUUCUUUUUUGUUGUCUUUUUUCAUUUCUUGAUCAAUUUGCCUCUAUUUUUCUGCCACUUCCUGUAUGUCAGAGAUCUCUCUUUGUACCCAUCUGUCCUAGCCUCAGCCCCUCUUUUUGCUCCUGCUGAUGCUAUGGCAACAAGAUGCUCACAGGCAUAUCCUAGCAUCCCAGGCCUCAGCUCCAACUCCUGGCUUUCUGGCCUUGGACUACCCUGCCGGUGGGAGGCACCUGUCGGUCUCUGCUCAGCCCCCAAGGUGCAUGAGCACUCACGGACGGGCAAGGGAGUUAUCAUCAUAGUGGGCAGCCAAGGUCAGGGAGUCUCUCCC